rnacentral:sRNA from 1 species
GUCGUGAGAUGUUGGGUUAAGUCCCGCAACGAGCGCAACCCUUGUCCUAUGUUGCCAGCGGAUCAUGCCGGGGACUCGUAGGAGACUGCCGGGGUCAACUCGGAGGAAGGUGGGGACGACGUCAAGUCAUCAUGCCCCUUAUGUCCAGGGCUGCAAACAUGCUACAAUGGCCGGUACAAAGAGCUGCUAUCCCGCGAGGGUGAGCUAAUCUCAAAAAGCCGGUCUCAGUUCGGAUUGAAGUCUGCAACUCGACUUCAUGAAGCCGGAGUCGCUAGUAAUCCCGGAUCAGCAUUGCCGGGGUGAAUACGUUCCCGGGCCUUGUACACACCGCCCGUCACACCACGAAAGUCGGCAACACCCGAAGCCGGUGGCCCAACCCUUGGGAGGGAGCCGUCGAAGGUGGGGUCGGUGAUUGGGGGUGAAGUCGUAACAAGGUAGCCGUACCGGAAGGUGCGGCUGGAUCACCUCCUUUCUAAGGAGUACCUCUCAUCAGCUUGGCCGCAUGGUCACGCAACGAUGAGACAUCUCCCUAGUUGGUGCAUUGGUGGGUCGUCGUCCGUAGCGAUCGUCGUGGAGGCCUUGGUCUCCGGCGGUGGCAACGUGGCGCCGGCUCCGUUCCUCUCUUCCGUUGUGAGGGAGCGAGUCGUCAGCGUCGAGCUCGAAGGAGCUCCGCUGCGCCGGCCGCUCAACCCUCUUCGCCCCUUGAGAACUGCAGAGCGAGCACGAGCAUCUUGUAAAUUUUCCAAGCUACAAAGAGCCAACGGUGGAUGCCUUGGCGUCGAGAACCGAUGAAGGACGUGGGUGACUGCGAAAAGCCGCGUGGAGCCGUCGACCAGGCUUUGAUGCGCGGAUGU